GAACGCACAUUGCGCCCAAUGGUAUUCCAUUGGGUAUACCUGUUUGAGUAUCAGAAUCCUUUUAAUUAUUAAACUUUUAUGUAUAGAGAUGUAUGUAAAGAUGUUUGGAUAUAAAAUUGAGAAAAGUAGGUAUUAUUUAUAAUACUACUUUCUUAAAAACCCCAAAUAUUAUGUUUUGAUUUUUCUUCAAUCUCAUUUUGUAUAUGAUUUAACAAAUGAGUACGAGUAAAAAUAACAAUACUUUGGAUGACCUCAAAUCAGGUAGGGAUACCCGCUGAACUUA
rnacentral:misc_RNA from 1 species